AAGAUCCUACCAAUCAGUGCACAGAAUCCCGCUCGCUUCCUCUGACUUCGACGGGGCAAAUGCCAAUCAGCAGCCGAAACCCUGCUUCCUCCCUCUCAGGAACCUUGCGAGGGCAUACCGGAAGCUGUCAAUCACCUCAGACUUCUAAGCUCGGCGAGGAUAGAGAUGUCUUUGUGGCACGCGGGGACACGCGCGCGGGAAACAGACAACAUGGUGCCGUGAUGGCGGUUCUUGGAGACUUCUGCGAAGACUGGCACCUUCCUCUUCCUAUCACGAUGUUUGGCCAUCUAAAGUCAGUUUUAGUUUCUAUAUUUCCUGCAAUGGAGACCUUUUAGAUGACUGCAAGAAGUGCUGGCAGAAAUGAGGACUUUGCUAACAAAAUUCCACAGAAAUUCAAUAACUGACAUGGGGGUGGAGGAAGAAAGUAUUUAUUGCAAAAUGCAGAGCAAGAAGUCAGACUACUACUGCCCUGUACAGGACUUAAGGGAAGUAAGUAAACAGGUAAUGGACAUUCACUCAACUGUGCCUAACCCUUACACACUCUUUUAAGUACCUUGCCCCCAGAUUGCCUAUGGUACACAGUCCUAGAUUUAAAGGAUGCCUUCGUUAGUCUGCUGUUGACUCCAAGAAGCCAAAAACUGUUCACCUUCAAAUGGACUGAUGCAGAGAAAGGUAUAAAUAGACAGUUAACCUGGACCAGGAUGCCCCAGGGGUUCAAAAACUCCUCUACAAUCUUUGAUGAAGCACUCCACAAAGACCUGGGCCCCAUCAGCUUGUAACCCUGCCACCCUACUACUGGACCCUGACUUGGAAGCACCUCUAUAUGACAGCACCGGAAUCCUAGCACAGGCACACGGUAUUCGAGAGGACCUCAGAGACCAACCCCUGUCUAAUGCUGAACUUGUGUGGUUUACAUACGGAAACAGAUUCAUUCAAGACAGCCAGAGAUACCUUUUCAGGAUGGAUGGAAGCCUUCCCUACCAAACAUGAGACGACACAGCUGCUGGAGGACAUUAUGCCCAGAUUCAGUUGGGAAGAAAUUCCACACAGCUCACCGGGUUGCCUAGGCUAAGGAGUUUGUUUUACAUAUGUAAAAUGGUGCCUGCUUUUUGUCUUGCUGGGCUUUGUAAGGUUACAGAACUCCCAUAAGCUGCGUCUGCUACACUCAGGCUACAGGAAUCCCAAAAACAGCAUAUGCCUGCUCCCAGGCUAUAGGACUCUUGGAAACAGCUUCUCUCUAAUUUCAACAUACAGAACUCCUGGAAACUGCAUCUCUCUACACCCAGGUCACAGAACUCCCAUAAGCUGCUUCUGCUACACUCAGCAUACAGUAAACUCGCAUAUAGCGAAUGCCUCCUUCCAGGCUAAAGAACUCCAGCAAACAGCUCCUCUCUACACCCACAAUAGAGAACUCCUUUAAACUGCGUCUCUCUGUAUCCAGGUUACAGACCUCCCAUAAGCUGUCUGCUUCACUCAGGCUACACGAAUCCCAUAUACAGCGUACGCCUAACUCCAGUCUACAGAAUUUGUGGAAGCAGCUUGUCUCUAAUUUCAACAUACAGAACUCCUGGAAACUGCCUCUCUCUACACUUAGGUUACAGAAUUCACAUAAGUUGCAUAUCCUACACUCAGGAUACAGAAAACCCGCAUAUAGUGAAUGCCUAAUUCCAGGCAAAAGAACUCUAGUAAACAGCUCCUCUCUACACCAAGGAUAGAGAACUGCUGUAACCGUGUCUCUCUACAGUUAGGUUACAGAACUCCCAUAAGCUGCGUCUCCUACACUCAGGCUACAGGAACCCCAUGUACAGCAUAUGCCUACUCCCAGGCUACAGAUCUCUUGGAAACUGCUUCUCUCUACACCCAGGAUACAGAACUCCUGGAAACUGCAUCUCUCUUCACUUAGGUUACAGAAUUCCUGUAAGUUGCAUCUCCUACACUUACGAUAUUUAUAAACCGCAUAUAGUGACUGCCAAAUUCCAGGCUACAGAACUCCAGUAAACAGUUCCUCCCUACAUCCAUGAUAGGGAACUCCUGGAAACUGCGUCUCUCUACAUCCAAGUAACAGAAAUGCCGUAAGCUGCAUCUCUUAUACUAAGGAUACAGAAAACCCACAUAUAGCGAAUGCCUAAUUCCAGGCUUCAGAACUCCAGUAAACAGCUCCUCUCUACACCAAGGAUAGAGAACUCCUUUUAACUGCCUCUCAACAUCCAUGUUACAGAGCUCCAAUAAGCUGCGUCUGCUACACUCAGGCUACAGGAAGCCCAUAUACAGCAUAUGCCUACUCACAGGCUACAGAACUCUUGUAAACUGCUUCUCUCUACACCCAAGAUAAAGAACUCCUGAAAACUGCAUAUCACUACAUCCAGGAUACAGAGCUCCCGUAUGCUGCUUAUCCUAUACUCAGGGUACAGUAAACCCACAUUUUGUGUAUGCCUAAUUACAGGAUACUGAAGUCCCGCAAACUGCUUCCUCCUACACCCAGAUACAGAACUCCAGUGAAAUGCAGCUCUCUACAUCAACGUUAUAGAACUCCUAUAAGCGGUGUCAGAAACACUCAGGCUACAGGAAUUCCAAAUACAGCGUAUGCCUGCUCCCAGGCUAUAGGACUCUUGGAAACAGCUUCUCUCUAAUUUCAACAUACAGAACUCCUGGAAACUGCAUCUCUCUACACCCACGUAACAGACUCCCGUAAGCUGCAUCUCCUACUCUCAGGAAACAGAAAACCCGCAUAUACCGAAUGCAUAAUUCCAGGCUAAAGAACUCCAGUAAACAGCUCCUCUCUACACCAACAAUAGAGAACUCCUUUAAACUGUGUCUCUCUAUAUCCAGGUAACAGACCUCCCAUAGGCUGUAUCUGCUUCACUCAGGAUACAGGAACCCCAUAUACAGCAUAUGCCUGCUCCCAGGCUAUAGGACUCUUGGAAACAGCUUCUCUCUAAUUUCAACAUACCGAACUCCUGGAAACUGCAUCUCUCUAGACCCAGGUAACAGAACUCCUGUAAGCUGCUUCUGCUACAGUCAGAAUACAGAAAACCCGCAUAUAGCAAAUGCCUCAUUCCAGGCUACAGAACUCCAGCAAACAGCUCCUCUCUACACCAAGGAUAGAGAAUGGCUGUAAACUGUGUCUCUCUACACCCAGGUAACAGAGCUCCCGGAUGCUGUGUCUCCUACACUAAGGACACAGAAAUCCCAUACUCUGUGUAUGCGUACUCCCAGGCUACAGAACUCUUGGAAACAGCUUCUCCCUACGCCCAGAUACAGAACUCCAGUAAAAUACAUCUCUCUACUUCGAGGUUACAGAACUCCCAUAAGCUGCGUCUGCUACACUCAGGCUACAGGAAUCCCAAAUAUGGCGUAUGCCUACUCCCAGGGUACAGAACACUUGGAAACAGCUUUUCUCUACAUUCAACAUACAGAACUCCUGGAAACUGCAUCUCUCUACAGCCUGGUUACAGAACUCCUGUAAGCUGCAUCUCCUACUCUCAGGAAACAGAAAACCCACGUAUACCGAAUGCCUAAUUCCAAGCUAAAGAUCUCCAAUAAACAGCUCCU